rnacentral:rRNA from 1 species
GAUGAACGCUAGCGGCAGGCUUAACACAUGCAAGUCGAGGGGUAUUGGUUUUCGGACCAAGAGACCGGCGCACGGGUGCGUAACGCGUAUGCAAUCUACCUUUUGCAGAGGGAUAGCCCCAGAGAAAUUUGGAUUAAUACCUCAUAGUAUAGUACUUUGGCAUCAAGGAACUAUUAAAGUCACAACGGCAAAAGAUGAGCAUGCGUCCCAUUAGCUAGUUGGUAAGGUAACGGCUUACCAAGGCUACGAUGGGUAGGGGUCCUGAGAGGGAGAUCCCCCACACUGGUACUGAGACACGGACCAGACUCCUACGGGAGGCAGCAGUGGGGGAAUAUUGGACAAUGGGCGAAAGCCUGAUCCAGCAAUGCCGCGUGAGUGAUGAAGGCCUUAGGGUUGUAAACUGCUUUUGUACGGAACGAAACGGUGAGCUCUAAUACAGUUUGCUAAUGACGGUACCGUAAGAAUAAGCAACCGGCUAACUACGUGCCCAGCCAGCCGCGGUAAUGU